GAUCCUGGCUCAGGAUGAACGCUGGCGGCGUGCCUAACACAUGCAAGUCGAACGGAGUUCAUGAGGAAUGCGGCUUCGGCCAAAUGACUUUUGAACUUAGUGGCGGACGGGUGAGUAACGCGUGAGCAACCUGCCUUUCAGAGGGGGAUAACAUUUGGAAACAGAUGCUAAUACCGCAUAAGAUUACAGUACCGCAUGAUACAGUGAUCAAAGGAGCAAUCCGCUGAAAGA
rnacentral:rRNA from 1 species